rnacentral:rRNA from 1 species
AAUGGGUCAGCGACUUAUAUUCUGUAGCAAGGUUAACCGAAUAGGGGAGCCGAAGGGAAACCGAGUCUUAACUGGGCGUUAAGUUGCAGGGUAUAGACCCGAAACCCGGUGAUCUAGCCAUGGGCAGGUUGAAGGUUGGGUAACACUAACUGGAGGACCGAACCGACUAAUGUUGAAAAAUUAGCGGAUGACUUGUGGCUGGGGGUGAAAGGCCAAUCAAACCGGGAGAUAGCUGGUUCUCCCCGAAAGCUAUUUAGGUAGCGCCUCGUGAAUUCAUCUCCGGGGGUAGAGCACUGUUUCGGCAAGGGGGUCAUCCCGACUUACCAACCCGAUGCAAACUGCGAAUACCGGAGAAUGUUAUCACGGGAGACACACGGCGGGUGCUAACGUCCGUCGUGAAGAGGGAAACAACCCAGACCGCCAGCUAAGGUCCCAAAGUCAUGGUUAAGUGGGAAACGAUGUGGGAAGGCCCAGACAGCCAGGAUGUUGGCUUAGAAGCAGCCAUCAUUUAAAGAAAGCGUAAUAGCUCACUGGUCGAGUCGGCCUGCGCGGAAGAUGUAACGGGGCUAAACCAUGCACCGAAGCUGCGGCAGCGACGCUUAUGCGUUGUUGGGUAGGGGAGCGUUCUGUAAGCCUGUGAAGGUGUGCUGUGAGGCAUGCUGGAGGUAUCAGAAGUGCGAAUGCUGACAUAAGUAACGAUAAAGCGGGUGAAAAGCCCGCUCGCCGGAAGACCAAGGGUUCCUGUCCAACGUUAAUCGGGGCAGGGUGAGUCGACCCCUAAGGC